rnacentral:rRNA from 1 species
AUUGAACGCUGGCGGCAUGCUUUACACAUGCAAGUCGAACGGCAGCGCGGGCUUCGGCCUGGCGGCGAGUGGCGAACGGGUGAGUAAUGCAUCGGAACGUGCCCAGUAGUGGGGGAUAGCCCGGCGAAAGCCGGAUUAAUACCGCAUACGACCUGAGGGUGAAAGCGGGGGACCGAAAGGCCUCGCGCUAUUGGAGCCGCCGAUGUCGGAUUAGCUAGUUGGUGGGGUAAAGGCUUACCAAGGCGACGAUCCGUAGCUGGUCUGAGAGGACGACCAGCCACACUGGGACUGAGACACGGCCCAGACUCGUACGGGAGGCAGCAGUGGGGAAUUUUGGACAAUGGGGGCAACCCUGAUCCAGCCAUGCCGCGUGCGGGAAGAAGGCCUUCGGGUUGUAAACCGCUUUUGUUCGGGAAGAAAUCCUCUGGGCUAAUACCCCGGGGGGAUGACGGUACCGGAAGAAUAAGCACCGGCUAACUACGU